rnacentral:rRNA from 1 species
ACUCAAAUGAAUUGACGGGGACUCGCACAAGUGGUGGAUUAUGUGGCUUAAUUCGACGAUGACCGAAAAACCUUACCAGGGUUAGAAAUCUAGCUGCACGCCCAAGGAAACUUGGGAAGCCUUCGAGGGUGCUAGACAGGUGAUGCAUGGCUGUCGUCAGUUCGUGGCUUGAGCUGUUCCCUUAAGUGGGGUAACGAACGCAACCCUCGUUGCCUGUUUCAAGUGUCAGGCGAGACUGCCCCCUCACGGGGGAGGAAGGUGAGGACGACGCCAAGUCAGCAUGUCCCUCUGAUACCCUGGGCCGCACACAUAAUACAAUCGGCGCGACAAAAGGAUGCGAAACCGCAAGGUGGAGCAGAUCGAAAAACGCGUCGCCAAUACGGAUUGAGGUCUGCAACUCGACCUCAUGAAGCCGGAAUCACUAGUAAUCGUAGGUCAGCAAACUACGGUGAAUACGUUCUCGAGUCUUGUACACACCGCCCGU